GAACAAGGCCUUCUAAAGACUCUUUCCUUCAAAUCUUUUGUAACCGGGGUGAAAACUGAGGUUGAAAAACAUUUUUCCACUCGAUUUUAGUUUUUCCCACAUUUUCCCUGCCCCUGAAUGCCUCAUGACAUGUGACCAGGUCACAUGACAGCAAUCAUCCAAUCGGUGACUUCUCUAGCCCUAUAUAAGCUGCUCUGACUCCACUCUCCUCAGUUGUGUGGGAGAGGAGCCAGAGACAGCAGCUGCUCAGAAUCCAGACCUGUACUUUUGUGUUGGGACUCUACCUUGUUUUGUGCUUUGUGAUCAUAAGGAACUGGCCAGGUGCCCCUGAUCCACCACGGAUUUCCUGUAUCUAUUCGAUGGCGAGCUUCGAUCCCAAGCCAGGAGCCUGAAGAAAUCCCAACCCUUUGUCAACAUCCCAUGGUCUGGUAGGAGGCUUAGCAGCCUGCUCACUCUCCUACCUUCUCACUACUGAGCCCUUUCACAUCCACCUACUCCCCCUCUGGACAAUUUGCGCGUUGGAAACUACCCCCCUCGAACAAUAAAAGCCCCAAAUGAACAAUUGCGUUCAGUAUGCGUUUGGAGCCACCCAAAUGCUUGGUCGGACCUUGGGAUCCAUUUUGUUUUCUUUUUCUAGUUUGAUUUAUUGAACUUCAUGAAAAACAGAAGCAAUUGUAUUGUUGACUGGUUGUUGUUCUUUUGAUUGAUUGAUUAAUCUGUGCACAGAAAUUACUGCAGUUUGUAAAUACGUUUUGCUUUAUUUUGUUAACAUUCUUAUAAUAUAUUUCCACAUUUAAAAUCAAAUUACUAUCUCCUGGUCUCAUUUACUGCACUGCCCUCCAGUAGCCGAAUCUAACCUUCUGACAAUAGCCCAGUAUAUAUUCUCACCUAAUUCAACCACUUUUAGUAUUAUCAUUAUUUAACGCUACACACUCCUAGUUGUAAGUAAUUACAUAAUUACAUUGUAAUAAGGCAAACUCUUGCUACACUUUGUUAAUUGAUUUUUCAAUUUAUCUGUAAAUUCAUUCAAGCAAUAAAUGGUCAUUGGGAAGAACUGGAGCCACUACUCAUCUUUAUCUGCAUGUGUCAAGACACAAAUCCAACUCAGCCAUCAGUAAAAGUCAAACAGCAAACCAGAGGGGUUGGCUGAAAUUGCUAUUACACAAUUGUUUAUGUCAUUUUUCCAGUUGAUUAUUUUA